AUCCCAGAGUAUGUCACUAAACUUCUGGUCACCCUGCUAUAUCAUGUUAACGUGUAGAUGUGUUGUCACCCUGUGUAAUCUGACAUUACAUUUGUAUUAUCUGGAUUUCCUGGUACUGUUUAAUAUAUAUUUGCUGUAAUUCUUAAUGUACAGCAGCAGGAGGCAGCAGAAUAUAGUAGAGC